rnacentral:tRNA from 1 species
UCCUCGGUAGCUCAGUUGGUAGAGCGUCCCGCUGUUAACGGGAGGGUCCCUGGUUCGAGUCCAGGCCGAGGAG